rnacentral:rRNA from 1 species
CUACGGGCUGCUCCAGUGGGGAAUAUUGGACAAUGGGGGCAACCCUGAUCCAGCCAUGCCGCGUGUGUGAAGAAGGCCUUUUGGUUGUAAAGCACUUUAAGCAGGGAGGAGAGGCUAAUGGUUAAUACCCAUUAGAUUAGACGUUACCUGCAGAAUAAGCACCGGCUAACUCUGUGCCAGCAGCCGCGGUAAUACAGAGGGUGCGAGCGUUAAUCGGAAUUACUGGGCGUAAAGCGAGUGUAGGUGGCUCAUUAAGUCACAUGUGAAAUCCCCGGGCUUAACCUGGGAACUGCAUGUGAUACUGGUGGUGCUAGAAUAUGUGAGAGGGAAGUAGAAUUCCAGGUGUAGCGGUGAAAUGCGUAGAGAUCUGGAGGAAUACCGAUGGCGAAGGCAGCUUCCUGGCAUAAUAUUGACACUGAGAUUCGAAAGCGUGGGUAGCAAACAGGAUUAGAUACCCGAGUAGUC